GACGAACGCUGGCGGCGGGCUUAACACAUGCAAGUCGAACGGAAAGGCCCUGCUUUUGUGGGGUUCUCGAGUGGCGAACGGGUGAGUAACACGUGAGUAACCUGCCCUUGAUUUUGGGAUAACUUCAGGAAACUGGGGCUAAUACCGGACAGGAGCUCCUGCUGCAUGGUGGGGGUUGGAAAGUUUCGGCGGUUGGGGAUGGACUCGCGGCUUAUCAGCUUGUUGGUGGGGUAGUGGCUUACCAAGGCUUUGACGGGUAGCCGGCCUGAGAGGGUGACCGGCGACAUUGGGACUGAGAGAGGGCCCAGUCUCCUACGGGAGGCAGCAGUGGGGAAUAUUGCACAAUGGGCGGAAGCCUGAUGAAGCGGCGCCGCGUGCGGGAUGCCGUCCUUCGGGUUGUAAAACGCUUUAGGCUGAGACGAAGCGGGAGUGACGGUAAUGGAUGAAGAAGCACCGGCUAACUACGUG
rnacentral:rRNA from 1 species